rnacentral:misc_RNA from 1 species
UUGGAUCACCGACGUUUGUAAAACGACGUUAUGCAUGAACGUAAUGCUCACAACUUCCCUCUAGACCUAGCUGCUCUUGAAGUUCCAUCUCUUAAUGGAUAAGGUUUUUCUACUAACAUAUAGGAAUUUUUGAAGGAAGGAAAGCCAGAAAUACCCAAUAUCUUGUUCUAACAGGAUAUUGGGUAUUUCUUUGUUUAUUCUGAAUCUUUCUAUUCUGAAUUCAGUUAACGACGAGAUUUAGUAUCCUUUCUUGCACUUUCAUAACUCGUGAAAUGCCGAGUAGGCACGAAUUCCCCCAAUUUGCGACCUACCAUAGGAUUUGUUAUGUAAAUAGGUAUAUGUUCCUUUCCAUUAUGAAUCGCGAUUGUAUGGCCAACCAUUGCGGGUAGAAUGCUAGAUGCCCGGGACCACGUUACUAUUAUUUCUUUCUCCUCCUUCAUAUUGACCUUUUCGAUUUUUGCCAAUAAAUGACGAGCUACAAAAGGAUUCGUUUUUUUUCGUGUCACAGCUGAUUACUCCUUUUUUUCAUUUUAAAGAGUGGCAUCCUAUGUCCACUAUGUCGAUCGAGGUAUGGAGGUCAGAAUAAAUAGAAUAAUGAUGAAUGGAAAAAAGAGAAAAUCCUUUAGCUGGAUAAGGGGCGGAUGUAGCCAAGUGGAUCAAGGCAGUGGAUUGUGAAUCCGCCAUGCGCGCCUGURUGAMAUUKGUGAUCCAA